UACGGGGGGGGCAAGCGUUGUUCGGAAUUACUGGGCGUAAAGGGCUCGUAGGCGGCCAACUAAGUCGGAUGUGAAAUCCCCAGGCUCAACCUGGGAACUGCAUCCGAUACUGGAUGGCUUGAAUUCGGGAGAGGGAUGCAGAAUUCCAGGUGUAGCGGUGAAAUGCGUAGAGAUCAUGAGGAAGACCAGUGGCGAAGGCGGGUCUCUGGACAGUUCCUGACACUGAGGCACGAAGGCCAGGGGAGCAAACGGG
rnacentral:rRNA from 1 species